UGAGAACUGAAUUCCAUAGGUUGUUAGGGGUUAGACCUAUGGUGCUUAGUUCCAUA
rnacentral:pre_miRNA from 1 species